GGAGAAGUGGCAGAGUGGUCGAAUGUACCUGACUCGAAAUCAGGCGUGGGAUCAUAUCCCACCGAGGGUUCGAAUCCCUCCUUCUCCUCCA
rnacentral:tRNA from 1 species